rnacentral:lncRNA from 1 species
UUUUUUUUUUUUAAGAGAGAGAGAGAGAGAGCGAGAAUUUUUAUUUUUAGUCUUUCGGCGGACACAUCUUUGUUUGCAUGUGGUGCUGAGGAUCGAACCCGGGCCGCACGCAUGCCAGGCAAGCACGCUACCGCUUGAGCCACAUCCCCAGCCCCAAGAGACCCUGUCUCUAAAUAAAAUUCAAAAUAGGGCUGGGAAUGUGGCUCAGUGGUAGAGUGCCCCUGAGUUCAAUCCCUGGGAUCAAAAAAGAACUACCAAGUGAAUCAGACACUCAUAACCGCCUUCAAGUUGUUCGGCAACCUACCCUGUGGAAAAUCAAUGAAAGUUUGGAGGGCUGGGUUUGUGGCUUAGCAGUAGAGCACUCACCUAGCACAUAUGAGACUCUGAGUUCAAUCCUCAGCACCACAUAAAAAUAAAGAUAUUGUGUACACCUACAACUAAAAAAAAAAUAUUUUAAAAAGCAUUCUGUUGCUGGGCACAGUGGUACAUGCCUUCUCAGCAAUUUAGUAAGAAUCUGUGAAAAAAAAAAAAGAACUGCUUAUGUAGCUCACUGGUAAAACUCCCUUGGGUUCAAUCCACAGUACCAAAGAUAAAAGUAUUCUGUUAUGUAUAUGGAUAUACAGGUGAUUCUCAUUAUUCAGAGUAGUUAUAUUUUAUAAAGUCUGUGGACAUGGAAUGGGUGAAUACUAUGACUUGUGCCUGAAUAAAGCUAAUCUGAGGAAUUUUCACUGGAAAGCCUUCCUGUACUUAGGAACACUAAACAGCACUCUUUGGGGCCUUUUAAAGUGGCAAAACAGCAUCAAAUGGUCCAUGAAAAGGACACUUUUUUAUAAUAUGAGGGCUAAAACAAGGCAGAAAGGAC